UCACAACCGUGGAAUAAAAAAAGAAUGGGCGGAUCAGAUUAUUUUAGAAUUUCUUAUCACGCUCUCCACACUCACUCCUCUGAUUAAUCUCUCUCCUGAUCUCCUCCAUUGAAGCUAGUGUUCUCACUUCUCUAAAUUCUUCAUUAAAGCAACUUGCGAGCUUUCGCUUCUCCAUAGAAGCGAUUUUCGAGCUUACUCUUCUCCAUUGAAGCAGCUUCUGAGCAAUGAUUGAAAUUGAUGUUUUGCAACAGCUUGGUAAACGUGAUAAAGUGGCAAUCGGUGAGUUAUAUUUCUAUUUUGCAUUUGCACCUCUCUGUUUGUUGCUAUCGAUGGCACUUUCACAUAAGCUUUUUAAGUUUGCCUGCACUGUGGUUAAAUUGUUUUGUUCCUUGCAGUUGUGUGUAAUUAUGGAACUGUUUAACUAUUGUAACCAUUUCAAUUCACCAAUGAUUAUUUCAAUCAAUACUAAUGAUGUUGUGUUGGAGGUAUUGUGCGUGACAGUGAGGGUGACAUUAUGGCUGUUGUUGUUUGAUGAAAGGUAGCUUUGAGGUUGAGGUUGAGGUUGCGGAAGCGUUUGUAGCUAGACAUGCCUUAACAAUUGCUAUGGAAGCUAGCUGUAGCAAUGUUAUCCUUGAAACUAACAACUAUACUAUUUUCUUAUGGAAGUUUCUGGUUUUGGGUACAUUGCCAGGGCUAGUCUUUGUAAUCAUAUCUAUUUCUCUUUAGUAAGUAGAUAUGGUAAUGUUAUUGGCUUCUUGCUGCCCAUAAACUUGCUCAUGCUAGUAGAGAGUAUGGGAGAUGAGAGUGUGGAUUGGGAAGGCUUCUCCCUAUGUAAUGCAUGCUGUUAUGAUAGAUUCUGCUAGCAUUCUGUAAGCUUUCUGUCAACCAAAAAAAAAAAAAAACUCAUAAUGAGAAAUUCAUUUGUUGUCUCUAAAAGUAAAUAAAAAAGAAUAUAAAGUGAAUAAAAAGGACUUUAAAGUAAACCUAUUAGCUCAAGUGGUAGAGCACUAUGCGGAUGCAUAGAGGUGUAGGUUCAAUUCCUACAUAGGUUACCUCUAAAAGUAAAUACAAAACAUUCUAAAGUUAU